rnacentral:rRNA from 1 species
AUUGAACGCUGGCGGCAUGCUUUACACAUGCAAGUCGAACGGUAACAGGCCUUCGGGUGCUGACGAGUGGCGAACGGGUGAGUAAUGCAUCGGAACGUGCCCAAUCGUGGGGGAUAACGUAGCGAAAGUUACGCUAAUACCGCAUAAGCCCUGAGGGGGAAAGUGGGGGACCGCAAGGCCUCACGCGAAUGGAGCGGCCGAUGUCAGAUUAGCUAGUUGGUGGGGUAAAGGCCCACCAAGGCGACGAUCUGUAGCGGGUCUGAGAGGAUGAUCCGCCACACUGGGACUGAGACACGGCCCAGACUCCUACGGGAGGCAGCAGUGAGGAAUAUUGGUCAAUGGAGGCAACUCUGAACCAGCCAUGCCGCGUGUAGGAAGAAAUGCCCUAUGGGUUGUAAACUACUUUUAUUGGGUAAGAAACCGUUACUACGUGUAGAAGGAC